GAUGAACGCUGGCGGCGUGCCUAACACAUGCAAGUCGAACGAAUUACUUUAAAGGAAGUUUUCGGAUGGAAUUUAAAGUAGUUAGUGGCGGACGGGUGAGUAACGCGUGGGAAACCUGCCCUAUACAGGGGGAUAGCCUCGGGAAACUGGGAUUAAUACCCCAUAAAACUCUAGUAUCGCAUGAUACAUGAGCCAAAGAUUUAUCGGUAUAGGAUGGUCCCGCGUCUGAUUAGCUAGUUGGUGAGGUAACGGCUCACCAAGGCGACGAUCAGUAGCCGGCCUGAGAGGGUGAACGGCCACACUGGAACUGAGACACGGUCCAGACUCCUACGGGAGGCAGCAGUGGGGAAUAUUGCACAAUGGGGGAAACCCUGACCCAGCGACGCCGCGUGGGUGAAGAAAUCCUUCGGGAUGUAAAGCCCUGUUGUAUGGGAAGAGCGGAAGACGGUACCAUACGAGGAAGCCCCGGCAAACUACGUG
rnacentral:rRNA from 1 species